UACGGAGGGUGCAAGCGUUAAUCGGAAUUACUGGGCGUAAAGCGUGCGCAGGCGGUUUGUUAAGUCUGUUGUGAAAUCCCCGAGCUCAACUUGGGAAUUGCAAUGGAUACUGGCAGGCUGGAGUAUGGUAGAGGAAGGUGGAAUUCCCGGUGUAGCAGUGAAAUGCGUAGAGAUCGGGAGGAACACCUGCGGCGAAGGCGGGUUGCUGGGCUGACACUGACGCUGAUGUGCGAAAGCUAGGGGAGCGAACGGG
rnacentral:rRNA from 1 species